GUCUGUGCUGUUUUUGAAUAGUUGGAGGGUUAGUGUCGUACCUUACUAUAUGUGACUACUCACCCUUCAGCUAUUCAAAAACAGCACUG
rnacentral:miRNA from 1 species